UCGAAAAAAACGAAAUAUUUAUUAAUGAUUGAAUAUACAAGAUUAAAAACGAAAGAGCGCGAAAUAAUGAAAAAAUAUCAAUAAUGAAGAAUAUUUGCAACCUCUGAUGGAAUGGUUUCGAAUAAAAAGGCAAAUUAUGUUGAACUAAGCUACAACACAGUUCGAUACAGAAAUUCUUGCGAAGAAGUAAGAAAUUAAAAAGAAUCGAUUGGGAAAAGCUGCAGACAAUUGUUUAUACUAAAAGGUGUUACGAUAUAUUAUGCAUUUAAUGAUGAUAUUUCUAACAUGUUUAUGAUUGUCGAUUUAACUACCAAUUACUUGUUGAUUACGUACACGUUCAGUGAUCGAUCAUAUUCCCAUAUCACCAUUACAUAAUUCUUACAUUAUCAUUAUGCAACAGUUACAUUAUCAAUGCAUAUUGGUUACGACUCUACCCAUUGAUUGUAUAUCAAUUUUAAUCAAUUUCGUUACGAAUUAUAUCCUGAAAAAUGACUAGUUUUGUAAUUUUAAUUUUAAAAGAAAUUUCAAUCAACAGAUUAUAUAAAACAUUAAUUCGAAUAUCUCGCUCGAAAUAUAUUUGAUCUAAUAAGUAUUUAAAAUAUGAUAUUUUCAGGAAAGAACAAAAUCCAAGUAAAUUUCCAGGUGCCUGAGGAGAACACGUUGACGAGAUACAGGAUCGUUGUAAACGUAACAAGGUUGCAAGCGAUGCAAGGAAAAGUGCAGCGAGGAACGAAUAGUUGGUCGUUUCGCCGAGAAGGCUCGGUGAAAGGGACUCGCGGCCAGUCUGGCCGAUUUUGCGUUCAAGGAGAAUUCUGUGUUCCGAAGGUUCGCGACUGCUCAAUCGCGAUCGACCAAUUUUUCCGAUUUUCUCGCUAAAUACCUGUAGAUAAAGCAACUUCGAUAAAAUCUAAUUCAAUUCGUGCAACUAUGCUUUAUGACGUCGGCCUAAUCAAUUCGCCUUCAAAUAAAAAGAAUCAGAGAAACAUUAAGGCUUUGCAAAAAGUUAAAAAGUAUCGUAGUAGGUGGGUAUCUAGAAAUUGUAGUGUAGAACAAUGUAAACUUAUUCUUAUAGGUGUGUUACAAUUAUUGGUUUAGAAAUUAUUUAUUGCAAAUUAUUUUUGAAAUUUGUCUUUAUUGAGAAUUUAUCGAUCGCAACGAUAUCUUAAAAAUUUUUCUUAACUUUCUGAUAAUGCCUUUUGCAAUAGUUUCAGAUUUCUUCAUUAAAAUGAAUUUAUAGCACUUUCUAUUGCGCUCUGUUGUUUGCACUGAUCUCCAGAUAUCCAACGUUAUCUUGAAUCUAUCUGAUCGCAAAGAAUAAGUUGAAAGGAUACGGCACGAAUUCUUCAGCUAUGUCGUUGAAUAAAGCAGGUCGUCCUAUGUCUAGAUGCAAUCGCAACUAUAAUUCCAGCACGAUUUUUUCAAGUUGACGAGCUACGGGGGAAAGAUUUGAAUUAUGUAUCUGGUAUCGAGAUACAGUAGGGAUUAUGUAAUGGUAAUGGAAUUAUUUUAGUUGAAUAGGCAGGACAUUGUAAAGGAUUUAUUCUGAAUCAUGAAAAAAUUAAUCUUAGAAUUAGGUAUCAUUCUUUUAAAAAAAUAUCCAAAAGUAUCGUACGUGUUCUAAAACACAGCAAUGGUCAAUAAUAUAAUUAAUUAACGGUAGUAAAUAAUUUUUGUACACAUAGUAGUUUCUACUUUAAUUUACUUAACUCUGUGGUAUGCUUAUUAUUAUUUUUAGUAUUAUAUGUGGUAUGCUGUGUAUGUUAGAACAUUCAAGCAAAGCUGUUAAUGAAUCGGUUGUAUUAGUCGGUAGUAUCAGUAAAUCAGUAAUAGUUAUAAUAAUAAGAAUCCCCUGUUCCAGUUAACCCGCAGCUUAGCGGAAAAUGCGAGAAAAUUAUAAGCUUUCACUUAUCGCUCUUUAUUAGAAACGAAUGUAGGUUAAUGACCUGUUACUACUUACACAAGUAACUUUUCAAUGCUUGUUUUAGAAAACUGUUUUAUGUUAAAAUCUUAUAAUCGUAUUAUUCAAAAUUAUUUAAAAAUUGUCAAAUUAUUAUUAAACUUUGUCAAUUGCUUCCUAAGAUAGGCGAAUGAGAUAAAUGAAUUAUUAUUAUUUUCUAUUUAUUAAGAUCUAAAUAUCUUACCAAGCACAUCAUUCCAUUACGCUUAAAGGACCCCCGUUCAUUAUGAUAGAAAAUAAUUUCUACAACUUUCACAACAUAGUUUCUAGACUUCCACAUGCAUCCAAACCCUAUAAUAUAAACUAUAUUAUCAACUUCAAUAUAUCAAGUUUGGAGACAUUAAAUUCUAUGUAAAAGCUCGUUUAACUCCCAGGCAGCAAAGACUGGGUCAAUACUGACUCAUAUAGAUAUUUCAUGUUUAUUAGAUACUUUCUAUAUUACAUUUACGUAUUCUGUUCUAUUAAACUGUUAGGUUGAGUAAUACAUUCAUUCACGUUUCCUUAAAAGAACGUCGAACGUUAUUAGUAUAAAAUCUACCUAAUUAAAGAGUAACUUUUUCAUUCUAUUUCUUUAUUUUAUACCUUUUAUGAAAAAAAUUCAAAUACGUUCCUUUUCACGUUCUUUAAGUAGUUUUUAUUAUAUUUUUCGAAAAUGGACUAGCAUUAAUAAUUUAUUUAAUUUUCAGCCUCAUAGCCUAGGAAAUGUGAACUUGGUUUACAUAGUCUUCUACUCAACACACAUACCCGUACAAUUAUUCACUCGUCUUUCUCAUCCUUCCAUAACUCCAUUCAUAACAUUUAUCCACCUAACUCUAUUCAGAUGACUCUAUUUCGAACGCUUACUCCUUACUCUAGCCUCUGCUAUUCGCUUUAGAACUAUCCUAAUCCCUCCAUUUAUCCUCUACUUCAUUGCAUCUGCUUUUCUUUUCUCCCGCCCUCGUCCUUUUCCUUCCUCAUUCCUACAAUACUGCUCCUUUCCACCAUUCCACCACGCGUUACUCCCUUCUAUCGUACAGAACUUUUUCCACGUUUAAAUUUACUGUUUGCACACCUGUAUAGUUCUCUACUAAGUAUUUUAUCGUUAUAUAUAUUCCUUCGGUAUAUCCUACACAGUGUGUCCUGCUCCUUUCUCCAAUACCUAUUUCCUUCUUCCAUAUUUUCACAUCUUGCUCUUACCAUAAGGUUCUAGCUUCCCCUUGUACCAACCUCCAUAAAGUGGGAUGCUCACCACCGUAUAAAUACCUGUACAAUAUAUGAUACUCAGAGUUUCUUAUUUUACUGUACUGCGACUGUUUUUGGUUCGGUAUCUCUCAGCCAAAAAGGAAGAAUAAAUGCUUGUUUACAAUGCAUCUUACAAUAGCAAAUAGCAAAUUAGAAUUCGAAACAAUUAGAGUGUUAAUUUCUUUUUGAAGUCUAUUAUUUUCUGAAUCAAUCAGAGCUUCAUUAUAUCGAUAAAAGUGGUGGGUGUUAAAUCCAGGCCAUUAGUGUUUAUAGUCGACUACAUUGUCCACGUAAAUCGCCUAUAGUAAGUCACUGUAUGAAAUUCUAAUAGCGACUAUGAUAUACAAAUAUAAGUAUCCCUACUAGAUAAGGCUAAUACACGAUACAAAACCAACUUUUCCUAUGUACCACAAGAGCAAAGUUUCACAAGUAUAAUGCUUCGCGAAAGUAUCCGGAAUGUUUGGCAUAGAAAAGUUUUACGAACACAGUCAGCUUUCUAUAUUGUACAUUAACUUUUUACUAAAUACAUGUUAAUAGUAAGUACCCUGUAAUUUCUACAUCAAUUCUCAGAUUCGUUCCAAAUUUCACGAAUAAAAUCAUUCACAGUCGUAACUCGCUACGAUAUAAAUGAAAUUUGCGAAGACGUUUUAUGUAAUACACAUAAUACAGUGGCUGCAAAAAAUACUAGCACGCCACUGUGUUUAUUAUAGGAAUUAUAUACUGAUUAAUUAGCUCCGAGUAUAUUAAAUUUCUAUAAAAAUUUCGCAGGACCUCAUGAAAAAUCAUUUCAUUAGAAACUAAGGAUACGUGUAAAGACUUUUUGUAUAUACCGUGUGUACGUAAAAAUUUGCUAUGGUAAGCGUUCGAAUAGUUUUAUGAGUCGCUGUAUACAAUAUACGUUGUAUGUAGUUGGCACGGAAAAUACUAUUCCUUCCAAGGAAUUUCAAAGCGCGCGAAGGGAAAAAGCGCACCACGUUUGAAAGAGGAGAAUGCCCGGCGUUAAGUGCAAGACGGUGAGCGAGAGAUUAGCUCGAUCGGUAAGAGAGGAAGAAAAAAAUGGGAGGUACCUUUCACUCGGGCACUCUCCGAGUAGCAGACCGCGGAAACUUUUUGCUUUCGCGUACGAUUCCCCUCGAAAACCGCAACGAGCAACGUCGUUGCUCGAAUGCGGUUCCGCGUUCGUUCCGCAACGCUGUGCAACUUCCCAUAUGUUAUCGAACACUGAACGUGUGUCUCAUUAGGUGCGCGUCGCCAUUACAGCCUCUAGACCUCACAGGAAUAUUCGAUUAAUUGUGUGUGUCCACUCAAACGAACCAAGAUCGAUAUAUAAGCAAGAUUAUCCUUAUUUACUUAUUUGUCGAUUUGCCUGAGACCUUUUUAAUUAAAAUAGCUGUCUAUGUUAUUGUACUAGAGUGUAACAUAUCCGAUUGGUGAUGUAAUAUGGUUUUUUCGAUCCUUUACCGACUGUACGAUGGUUAAUGUUACAUACAUCGUAGAAGUUACACGUCAGCAGCCGUUUAGCUGCUGCCACUGGCAAGGCAAAGAUAUAACGCAAGAUUGUGGGUAUUGUGCAAUAGGUGGUAGACUACGGAUUUUGAUAUAUUUAUGGGAAAUUUGAGGAUGCAAAGGUACACGGAAUACACAUAAUACGGAUAUUGUAUAGAACACGCUGCGCUUAAGCUCCGUUCUUCGUAACUGUGCCCAUAAAGAUGUAAAUUUGCAUAAAUAUCUGCUAGUAGUAAAUAUAAAAGCAGAAUGAAUUUAUAAUA